UGUCAGAUCUGCCACUUCCCCUGCCGAGCGGCGGCGAGACGUGUGGGAACCCGCGCCGCCAGGCUCACCUGCCUCCCCGCCCUCCACUCCCAGGGAUCUGAGAAUUGCUCUCACACACCAAACCAGCAGCGUCCGUGGAGAAAACUCUCACGAGCAACUCCUUUAAAACACCGUCAUUGCAAACCAUUGUGGUCUUUAAGCAACAACAACA